CCUACGGGAGGCAGCAGUGAGGAAUAUUGGUCAAUGGCCGAGAGGCUGAACCAGCCAAGUCGCGUGAGGGAAGAAUGUCCUAUGGAUUGUAAACCUCUUUUGUCAGGGAGCAAAGUCACCCACGUGUGGGUGGUGGAGAGUACCUGAAGAAAAAGCAUCGGCGAACUCCGUGCCAGCAGCCGCGGUAAUACGGAGGAUGCGAGCGGUAGCCGGAUUUAUUGGGGUUAAAGGGGGCGUAGGCGGGGUAUGAAGUCAGCGGUAAAAUGGUGGAGCUAAAAUCCGUCCAGCCGUUGAAACUGUUGAUCUUGAGUGGGCGAGAAGUAUGCGGAAUGCGUGGUGUAGCGGUGAAAUGCAUAGAUAUCACGCAGAACUCCGAUUGCGAAGGCAGCAUACCGGCGCCCGACUGACGCUGAGGCACGAAAGCGUGGGUAUCGAACAGGAUUAGAUACCCCUGUAGUC
rnacentral:rRNA from 1 species